CCUACGGGUGGCAGCAGUGGGGAAUAUUGCACAAUGGGGGAAACCCUGAUGCAGCCAUGCCGCGUGUGUGAAGAAGGCCUUCGGGUUGUAAAGCACUUUCAGUAGGGAGGAAGGCGUUGAUGCUAAUAUCAUCAACGAUUGACGUUACCAACAGAAGAAGCACCGGCUAACUCCGUGCCAGCAGCCGCGGUAAUACGGAGGGUGCAAGCGUUAAUCGGAAUUACUGGGCGUAAAGCGCACGCAGGCGGUCUGUCAAGUCGGAUGUGAAAUCCCCGGGCUCAACCUGGGAACUGCAUUCGAAACUGGCAGGCUAGAGUCUUGUAGAGGGGGGUAGAAUUCCAGGUGUAGCGGUGAAAUGCGUAGAGAUCUGGAGGAAUACCGGUGGCGAAGGCGGCCCCCUGGACAAAGACCGACGCUCAGGUGCGAAAGCGUGGGGAGCAAACAGGAUUAGAUACCCCAGUAGUC
rnacentral:rRNA from 1 species